CAACCAAGGUCAUUGAUAUUGGUGUCGGGUGAGUUUGGAGGUUGAUGAAUUAUGUUGAUAUUGAAACCAUCACUUGAUGCAACCUCUCUAAACUCUAAGUCAUCAUUUCUAAUGUGUGGUCUUGCAUUAUCUUGUUGUAUAAAGAUAUCCUUGCUGUAAAAGGAGGGCCACUUGGCCUUGAUGGCAGGUACAAGCUGCCACAAUUUAUCAUUCAUACAUCAGUACAUAUUUCAAGUAAAUAAACUGAACUGGAUUGCAUACUAAGAGUAUUACCUGCUUGAUGAACCCCUCUCUAACAACAUCCUUUGUGAUGCUCUCUAUUGACUUUUGCUCUAGAGUUCCUGCCACUCUGUUUUUACUUGAUCUCUUGGCUGCCACCAUCUCUGUAUAUGGGAAGAUGCCUAUCUUCCCAUCAAACAACACACUACCAUCUUGAGCAAACAAUGGCCUGCACACUGCGCACGAAAACAUCACCUUUUGGAUGAACUUUUUGUUUUUGCAAGCUCUAUGUGGCUCAGCCUCUGCUGGAGUUAAGUACCACCUUUGAGAACUUUUGGUUAUGUAAAACCAUUUCUCAUCAAUAUGUAUAGUGUUAUGCAUGGUCUUGAACCUCAAUACAUCUUGCUGCCGGUCAUACUCCAUUGCCUCGAGGCAAAACCUCAUCCUUAACAGCUUAUUUGCUGCUGUAAGCCCAAAUGCGAGAAAUGGUCUUCCGGCAGACAUGGAACUUCUCCUCCAUAGCUUUCAUCUUGCCUCUUGGUGGCUUCCCAUUCUUGCACUCUAAAAGCAAGGUUUGAAGAAUUGAAGUUCUUUCUUGUGUUGUCAAAUCCUUCCUCCUCAUUCUCUUUUUUUUUUGGCUCAUUUAUUGCAAGGAAGAAUGUAAUGCAAUAAAUGAAGCAGCAAUUGUAUUUGUACAGCCU